rnacentral:rRNA from 1 species
CGGUAGCUAAUACCGCAUAACGUCGCAAGACCAAAGAGGGGGACCUUCGUGCCUCUUGCCAUCAGAUGUGCCCAGAUGGUAUUAGCUAGUAGGUGGUGUAACGGCUCACCUAGGCGACGAUCCGUAGCUGGUCUGAGAGGUGACCAGCACACUGUACUGAGACACGAUCUAGACUCAUACGGAGGCAGCAGUGCGAUAU